rnacentral:lncRNA from 1 species
UGUGUGGUUGACAGUGACAUAUCUGUUAAUGUUACAUUGAUCGAAACAUUGAUAGAACCUUUUUGUAGUGCAACUAAUCUUUCUAAUUAAUUAUAAUUUGCACUGUAGUACUGCAGACACUUUUUGGCUGAAUUACAAAAUGAAUUUUUAAAUUUUUUUAAAUUAUAAUAAUUAUAACAUCGAAAUUCUAGAAAA